rnacentral:rRNA from 1 species
GACGAACCGUCCAAACGUUAUUCGGAAUUACUGGGCUUAAAGGGUGCGUAGGCGGCCCUGUAAGUUGGGUGUGAAAUCCCUCGGCUCAACCGAGGAAUUGCGCCCAAUACUGCAGGGCUAGAGGAAGAUAGAGGUGAGCGGAACUUGUGGUGGAGCGGUGAAAUGCGUUGAUAUCACAAGGAACACCUGUGGCGAAAGCGGCUCACUGGGUCUUUUCUGACGCUGAGGCACGAAAGCUGGGGGAGCGAACGGG